UGUGUAACUCCGGUAGGGCAACAUCUGAAAAAUAACGCACUUGGUAGUGUGUACCGGUGCUCGACCAGUCUGUGAAUGCCAACAUCACCCAUGACAGAGAACAGUUGAUUGUCAAGGGCAAUGAAUACCAUUAUCUUGGCAUUAAAGUAUUUCGCCUUUGAGUUGUCUCUCUGUGUUGCAUGUGUAGCGCAACAUUUUACGCGGCGUCAAUACGUGAUAUAGGUAGCUUUGACAUCGGUUUUGUGAUAUAGGUAGCUUUGACAUCGGUUUUGUGAUAUAGGUAGCUUUGACAUCGGUUUUGUGAUAUAGGUAGCUUUGACAUCGGUUUUGUGAUAUAGGUAGCUUUGACAUCGGUUUUGUGAUAUAGGUAGCUUUGACAUCGGUUUUGUGAUAUAGGUAGCUUUGACAUCGGUUUUGUGAUAUAGGUAGCUUUGACAUCGGUUUUGUGAUAUAGGUAGCUUUGACAUCGGUUUUGUGAUAUAGGUAGCUUUGACAUCGGUUUUGUGAUAUAGGUAGCUUUGACAUUGGUUUUGCACAUCGGCGUUAAACUAGACAUUGGGCCGAUGUUGGCAUUUUUAGCUAAUAUCGACCUAUUUCGAUAUCGUCACUAUUAUAUUGUGCAUCCCUACUGUAGAUGCUGGUAAAAAAUAGUGGUGUAGAUUGAGGUAUAGAUACUGAUAUACUGUAGAUGCCUUUAUAGAUAGUGGUAUAGAUAGUGGUAUACUGUAGAUGCUGGUAUAGAGUGGUAUACUGUAGAUGCUGGUAUAGAUAGUAAUAUACUGUAGAUGCCGAUAUAGAUGCUCGUAUAGAUAGUGGUAUACUGUAGAUGUUGGUAUAGAUAGUGGUAUAGAUAGUAAUAUACGGUAGAUGCCGAUAUAGAUGCUCGUAUAGAUAGUGGUAUACUGUAGAUGUUGGUAUAGAUAGUGGUAUAGAUAGUAAUAUACGGUAGAUGCUGGUAUAGAUGCUCGUAUAGAUAGUGGUAUACUGUAGAUGUUGGUAUAGAUAGUGGUAUAGAUAGUAAUAUACGGUAGAUGCUGGUAUAGAUGCUCGUAUAGAUAGUGGUAUACUGUAGACAUUGGUAUAGAUAGUGGUAUAGAUAGUAAUAUACUGUAGAUGCCGAUAUAGAUGCUCGUAUAGAUAGUGGUAUACUGUAGACAUUGGUAUAGAUAGUGGUAUAGAUAGUAAUAUACGGUAGAUGCCGGUGUAGAUCAUGGUACAGGUAGUGUAUACUGUAGAUGCUGGUAUAGAGUGGUAUACUGUAGAUGCUGGUAUAGAUAGUAAUAUACUGUAGAUGCCGAUAUAGAUGCUCGUAUAGAUAGUGGUAUACUGUAGAUGUUGGUAUAGAUAGUGGUAUAGAUAGUAAUAUACGGUAGAUGCCGGUGUAGAUCAUGGUACAGGUAGUGUAUAUUGUAGAUGUUGUUAUACAUACUGGAAUAGGUAGUGGUAUAGGUAGUGGUAUAGAGUGCUUUCAGGAAGUAUUCACACAUUGUGUUGUGUUACAGCCUAAAUUUAAAAUGAAUUAAACUGAUAUUUUUGGUCACUGGCCUACACACAAUACCCAUUAUGGUUUAAGACAUUUUUACAAAUUAAGAAAAAAUGAAAAGCUAAAAUAUCUUGUAAAUUCAGGAGUAAAGAAGUGCUUAACAUGUCACAUAAUAAGUUGUAUGGACUCACUCUAUGUGCAAGAAUAGUGUUUAAGAUUAUUUAUUUUUUUACCCCGCACAUUAUUUGAGAUGAGCGAUGAGGAAGUCAUAAAAAAAUCAUGUUAAACACUAUUCUUGCACAUAAAUAUUACUAAUCACUGAAUCCUCUGCUCUCUGCGCCUGACUCCUACCCACCACUCCUAGUAACCGGUGACACAGUUACAGAGUUUAAUGCCUGUGGUAGGAGAAAACUGACAGCAACAUUGCAGUUACUCCACAAUACUAACAUAAUUGACAGAGUUAAAAGAAGGAAGCCUGUACAUAAUAAAACAUAAUAAAAUAUAUUCCAAAACAUGCAUCCUGUUUGCAACAAAGCACUAAUACUGCAAAAAUGUGGCAAAGCAAUUCACUUUUUGUCCUGAAGACAGUGUUAUUUUUGAGGCAAAUCCAUUACUGAGUACCACACUAUGUUUUCAAGCACAGUGGUGGCUGCAUCAUGUUAUGGGUGUGCUUGUAAUCGUUAAGUACUGGGGAGUAUUUCAGGAUAAAACAUUUACGGAAUGAGUGGAGGACAGAGGAGCCUCUUAAAUAAGAAGUAACAGGUCUGUGAGAGCCAGAAAUCUUACUUGUUUGUUAUUGACCAAAUACUUAUUUUCCACCAUAAUUUGCAAAUAAAUUCAUUA